UACAGAGGGGGCAAGCGUUAUUCGGAAUUAUUGGGCGUAAAGGGCGCGUAGGCGGCCUGGCAAGUGGAAGGUGAAAUCCCUUGGCUUAACCGAGGAACUGCCCUCCAAACUGCCUGGCUUGAGUCCGGGAGAGGUGAGUGGAAUUCCCAGUGUAGCGGUGAAAUGCGUAGAUAUUGGGAGGAACACCAGUGGCGAAGGCGGCUCACUGGACCGGAACUGACGCUGAGGCGCGAAAGCGUGGGGAGCAAACGGG
rnacentral:rRNA from 1 species